rnacentral:rRNA from 1 species
UACGUAGGGCGCAAGCGUUGUCCGGAAUUAUUGGGCGUAAAGAGCUCGUAGGCGGCCUGUUGCGUCCGCUGUGAAAUCCCGGGGCUUAACCCCGGGCUUGCAGUGGAUACGGGCAGGCUGGAGGCAGGCAGGGGAGAACGGAAUUCCCGGUGUAGCGGUGAAAUGCGCAGAUAUCAGGAGGAACACCGAUGGCGAAGGCAGGUCUCUGGGCCGAUACUGACGCUGAGGAGCGAAAGCGUGGGGAGCGAACAGG